GGGAGGGGGAAUGCGAGCAGAGUUCUGGAUGCAGUAGAGAGGGAGCUACCUGGAGAUGGAGGAUGAAUAUUCAUGCACAGGCCUUGGGGGCUGCAACAUCUCUGGCACAAUGCUGAGCAUCAGGGCUCUAAAGACUUGGCCAUGAAAAAAGCUGAAGUCCCCAGAAGAAGAGAUAAGACUUGUACUACAAGGCUGUCCAUCAAGGUAGAAAGAGCUACUGUCUGUUUUCAAUAGAUAAAGUGGUUGGUAAAUAGUUUUCCAGGUCUGGCCCAGGCACAGCCGAGGUCCUAAAGAACCAAUGAUUAGUGAAACAAAGAAAGGGGCCUGGUUAUCUUGAAGAGCCAACAGACAUCUGGCAGAAGCAGUCAAGAAGAACCUGGGACUUCUGCAGUCCCUGGGGCACAUUCAGCCUGAGCUGCACCCAAUUAAUCAGCCUCAGGACCAGGCCUUUCUGGCUAUAACCACAGUGCUUAUUGGUGGUUCUGUUUAUGUCUUCCUAGACAGCAGACACAAACUUUCAUUUGACGAAAGGCAACCAUCACCCCCAAAGAGACUAGGAAGAGCCUCCCCUUCACAUUGAGAAGAAAAGCAUUACCCAUUUAAGCACUCCCUUCCCAGCAUCAAAAGAAAAGGGGUCAACAAUUGGCAUUCUCCUUUAAAAAGUUUCAGACCUAGGCCGGGCACGGUGGCUCACGCCUGUAAUCCCAGCACUUUGGGAGGCCCAGGUGGGCGGAUCACGAGGUCAAGAGAUUGAGACCCUACUGGCCAACAUGGUGAAACCCCGUCUCUACUAAAAGUACAAAAAAUUAGCCGGGCAUGGUGGUGCGUGCCUGUAGUCCCAGCUACUCGGGAGGCUGAGGCAGGAGAAUUGCUUGAAACUGGAAAAUGAAAGUUGCAGUGAGCCAGGAUCAGGCCACUGCACUCCAGCCUGGCGAUAGAGCGAGACUCUGUCUCAAAAAACAAACAAACAAACAAAAGUUUCAGACCUGGGACAGUGGUUUACAUCUGUAAUCCCAGAACUUUGGGAGGCUCAGGCAGGAGGAUCCUUUGAGCCCAGGAGUUAGAGACCAGCCUAGGUAACAGCAAGAUUCCAUCUCUACAAAAAAUAAAAUUAAAAAU
rnacentral:lncRNA from 13 species